UACGGAGGGAGCUAGCGUUGUUCGGAAUUACUGGGCGUAAAGCGCGCGUAGGCGGUCUUUUAAGUCAGAGGUGAAAGCCCGGGGCUCAACCCCGGAAUAGCCUUUGAAACUGGAAGACUUGAAUCUUGGAGAGGUCAGUGGAAUUCCGAGUGUAGAGGUGAAAUUCGUAGAUAUUCGGAAGAACACCAGUGGCGAAGGCGACUGACUGGACAAGUAUUGACGCUGAGGUGCGAAAGCGUGGGGAGCAAACAGG
rnacentral:rRNA from 2 species